rnacentral:rRNA from 1 species
AGCGAACGCUGGCGGCAGGCCUAACACAUGCAAGUCGAGCGAACAGUUCGGGGUUAGUGGCGUACGGGUGUGUAACACGUCGGAACGGGCCUAUAUGGUCGGAAUAACUCAGGGAAACGGGUAAUAAUACCGAAUGGGACCUUCGGGGGAAAGAUUUAUCGAAGUUAGAGCGGCCAGAGUCUGAUUAGCUAGUUGGUUGAGGUAAUGGCGCACCAAGGCGACGAUCAGUAGCUGGUCUGUGAGGGUGAUAAGCCACAUAGGGACUGAGACACGGCACAGACUCCUCCGGGAUGCAGCAGUGGGGGAUCGUGCGCCGUCGGCGGAAGCCUGACGCAGCCAUGCCGCGUGAAUGCUGAAGGUAUUAGGAUUGUAAAAUUCUUGCACCGGGGACCAUCAUGACGGUACCCGGAGAAGAAGCCCCGGCUAACUUCGUG